rnacentral:rRNA from 1 species
AUUGAACGCUGGCGGCAGGCUUAACACAUGCAAGUCGAGCGAGCGGCGGACGGGUGAGUAAUGUCUGGGACACUGCCUGAUGGGGGGGGAUAACUACUGGAAACGGUAGCUAAUACCGCAUACCAUCAGAUGUGCCCAGAUGGGAUUAGCUAGUAGGGGGGGUAAAGGCUCACCAAGGCGACGAUCCCUAGCUGGUCUGAGAGGAUGACCAGCAAGACGGAAACGGAGACACGUUCCAGACUCCUACGUGAGGCAGCAGUGGGGAAUAUUGCACACUGGGCGCAAGCCUGAUGCAGACAUGCGGCGUGUGUAAGAAGGGCCUUCGGGUUGAAAAGCACUUUCAGCGAGGAGGCGUUACUCGCAGAGGAAGGACCGGCUAACUCCGUGCCAGCCGCCGCGGUAAUAC